rnacentral:miRNA from 1 species
UUUUGUAUGAGACGCAUUCCG